AGCGAACGCGGGCGGCGUGCUUAACACAUGCAAGUCGAGUGCGCGUCUGUAGCAAUACAGAUGGCGCACGGCGCACGGGUGCGUAACACGUGGGCAAUCUGCCCUUCGAUGGGGAAUAACCUCGCGAAAGCGAGGCUAAUUCCGCAUAACAUUCCGAUGAUCUAGGUCAAUGGAUUCAAAGCCGUAAGGCGUCGAAGGAGGAGCCCGCGCACGAUUAGCUAGUUGGUGAGGUAACGGCUCACCAAGGCUAUGAUCGUUAGCUGGUCUGAGAGGAUGGCCAGCCACACUGGAACUGAGACACGGUCCAGACUCCUACGGGAGGCAGCAGUGGGGAAUCUUGCACAAUGGGCGAAAGCCUGAUGCAGCGACGCCGCGUGGGGGAUGAAGCUUUUCGGAGUGUAAACCCCUUUCGACCCGGACGAAUGCCCCGCAAGGGGACUGACGGUACGGGUAUAAGAAGCCCCGGCUAACUACGUGCCAGCAGCCGCGGUAAGACGUAGGGGGCCAGCGUUGCUCGGAAUUACUGGGUGUAAAGGGUUCGUAGGCGGUGCGGCAAGUUGGGAGUGAAAUCUCUGGGCUCAACCCAGAGGCUGCUUCCAAAACUGCUG
rnacentral:rRNA from 1 species